rnacentral:rRNA from 1 species
GCAGUGGGGAAUCUUGCACAAUGGGGGCAACCCUGAUGCAGCGACGCCGCGUGAGUGAUGAAGCCCUUCGGGGUGUAAAGCUCUUUCGGCAGGGACGAUAAUGACGGUACCUGAAGAAGAAGCUGCGGCUAACUACGUGCCAGCAGCCGCGGUAAUACGUAGGCAGCGAGCGUUGUUCGGAGUUACUGGGCGUAAAGCGUGCGUAGGCGGUUUUGCAAGUCUGGUGUGAAAUCUCCCGGCUCAACUGGGAGGGUGCGCCGGAAACUGCAAGGCUGGAGUAUGGGAGAGGUAGGCGGAAUUCCUGGUGUAGCGGUGAAAUGCGUAGAUAUCAGGAGGAACACCUGUGGUGUAGACGGCUUACUGGACCAUGACUGACGCUGAUGUACGAAAGCAUGGGGAGCAAACAGGAUUAGAUACCCGGGUAG